rnacentral:lncRNA from 1 species
GUUAAAUCAAUGUUUGGAAAAUAUAGGCAAGGGGUUGCUGCAUGCAUUUAUUUCUAGUUAAAUAUUAAUUGGACAUGCUCAUGUCACUAGUGGUAUUCAUUAUAUCUUGGUCAGACAAAACAAAUUCCACAACCCACAGGUUAAAGGCACAGUUCAGCCUGUUGAACGAUGGUUUUUAAGGCGCAUUUGAGCCCUUUUAAUUGAAAAAACUAACUAGGAAAAUCAAUUAAGCAUAAUUCAAGAUGACCAAACUUAAUGUUUUUAACAUUUUAAAACAUUUAUAUUGUUAAAAACAUCGAGUU